GACGAACGCUGGCGGCGUGCUUAACACAUGCAAGUCGAACGGAAAGGCCCUGCUUUUGUGGGGUGCUCGAGUGGCGAACGGGUGAGUAACACGUGAGUAACCUGCCCUUGACUUUGGGAUAACUUCAGGAAACUGGGGCUAAUACCGGAUAGGAGCUCCUGCUGCAUGGUGGGGGUUGGAAAGUUUCGGCGGUUGGGGAUGGACUCGCGGCUUAUCAGCUUGUUGGUGGGGUAGUGGCUUACCAAGGCUGUGACGGGUAGCCGGCCUGAGAGGGUGAACGGCGACAUUGGGACUGAGAGACGGCCCAGACGCCUACGGGAGGCAGCAGGGGGGAGUAUUGCACAAUGGGCGGAAGCCUGAUGCAGCAACGCCGCGGGCGGGAUGACGGCCUUCGGGUUGUAAACCGCUUUCGCCUGUGACGAAGCGGGAGUGACGGUAAUGGGUAAAGAAGCACCGGCUAACUACGUG
rnacentral:rRNA from 1 species